rnacentral:lncRNA from 1 species
UUAUUUGUUGAGCAUAUUAGUGUCUGUUUGAUUUACCUAUUUUUAAAUAUGCAAGUUUUGUUUAGUUUUAUAGUACUUGUGACAACCCAAAAAUAUUUUAAUUAUAAUACUCGAAUUUAUAGUUGAAAUGAUGAUGACAAUUAGAAGGAAUAAAAUAGUUCACGCUUAAUAGUUUUGCUCAAAUAUAGGAUACAUCAUCGAAGCUGAACAAAUAUAUAUAUUUUUAGAAACUUUUAUUAGUUAGCAGCGAUUAGCUAAUAUCAAACAACUGAUAGUAUUGCAUACAAUAUGUUUCCCUAAACUGUAUGCUAUUUAGCUCUCGCCACAAAUGAUCAAAAACACAUGUGCAUUUUAAUGUAAAAUUUAACUCUUUUCUUAUCACCAAAUAAAUUUACUUUCAGAGAAAUUACAAGUUUUAAUAAAAUAGUUGAAAUAAGUGAUUGUUUAUGACUAGGUGAAAAUUAGAUGAAAAAAACAUAUAAUUAAUAAUUUAUAUAUCUAUUUCUCUCAUACUAUGGACUAUGGUCGAGCAAAAAUUAAUAAAAAAAUCAAACGGAUAGAAAUAGCUUAGUUACAAGAUUGAUGUUAAUCCAAUAAAUUUUUAAAAAAAAACACAUUGUUUCCAAAAGGGUAAGAAAUAGGUCCAAAUUAUAAUUCAGAACAUAAAUUAAUUUAAUGUAAAAUUUAAAUAAAAUUUAAAAUUCCUUCAUUAUCAAAUAAAUUUUCUUAAUAAAAUACUUUUAGUGAAUUAAUUAGAAGUCUUACUUAUUAACAAUAAAAAAAAUAUUUAUCCUUGUGCCAGAAAAAAACACCGCAUAGAUCAUAAAAAGGAAAAACUAAAACAUCCAUAAAACCACUAAACACAAAAUUCAUAGUUGUAGAGGAGGAUUAGAUACAUUGGUCCCAUAAUAUGUCACUCAAAAUCUCAAAUUCAUCCAACAAAAAGAAAUCAUCACUUUAGUUAAUUAAAUCAAGAACAAAUAAAGUUAUGGAUGAACAAAUAUGGGAAGCAAAGAAAUGUGACGGAUCAAAAGGGACGAAUAAGCUAAUUUCUGCCAUAAGGUAGAUGGUGAACUUAGGAUGUGGAGUUCCAAUAAAUACCUAAACAUACCUAAACUUUUGGCCAUUCAAAUAGAUUAGACUAAUUUUUAAUUACUUAAAAAUAUUGCAUAAAUUUAAUAACAAAAAGGAGAAUAAAAGAAACAUGAAAUUAUACCUGUCAAUCUGUUAUUGAAAAGAUAAAGCAUCUGAAGAGAAGCCAAGUUUCCAAUAACAAGAGGAAUUUCACCUGAAAUGUAUAAUUAAAUCAGUAAAUAUUUGUAAAUAUUUUCCUAGCAAACCUUUAAUUUAUUUGUUGAGCAUAUUAGUGUCGGUUGAUUUACCUAUUUUAAUUAUGACAACCCAAAAAUAUUUUAAUUAUAAUACUUGAAUUUAUAGUUGAAAUGAUGAUGACAAUUAGAAGGAAUAAAAUAGUUCACGCUUAAUAGUUUUGCUCAAAUAUAGGAUACAUCAUCGAAGCUGAACAAAUAUAUAUAUUUUUAGAAACUUUUAUUAGUUAGCAGCGAUUAGCUAAUAUCAAACAACUGAUAGUAUUGCAUACAAUAUGUUUCCCUAAACUGUAUGCUAUUUAUCUCUCGCCACAAAUGAUCAAAAACACAUGUGCAUUUUAAGCCAAACAUUUAUAAUAGUGAUAAGAGCCGUAUUGAUACAAUUUUUUGCUAAGGAAUCAGCAAACACACACACAUAUCUGCACAUAUAGACACACAUAUAUCUGUACAUACAGACUACUAGGAAUCCAAAAAUGUCGCCAGACCCUAGAUAUAGUCUAGGUGAAAAGGGACUAAGGGGUUGAACAGUAAAGAAACCAGUAAGAACUCACAUGAUAAUGAGCUUGUUGUAACCAGAAUACAAAGAUUGGGGCAGAGUCAAGUUUCCAAUUUCUAUAGGCAUAAUUCCCUCCAAAGAGUUGUUACGCAAUAAUUAAUACUUGAACCCUUUACACUUGAAUAAGCUAUUUGAAAUUCUACUGAAAUUUGAUUAUGUGUGAAGCUUAAUUAUUGCAAUUUAGAAAUGUUAUCAAACAUCUAGAUAGUAGAUGACCUAUAAUGAGAUGAUUAGUUUUGAAACUAUUUUUUUAUUGGUGAAAAGAUAUAUAAGAUUUACACAUGUAAGGAGCCUGAAUAAGAAUUAUUAUGAAAAUAUAACUAAAUGAAGCUUGAAAAAUUCCUUGCUAUUAUAGGAAUCUGCCAUUCUAAAUCAUUGUUAUAUAAUAUCAACUGUUAUAAGAUAUGAUAUUAUACUUGUUAUGUUGUUAUUAGAAAGAUUUAUGAUCUCAAGAGUAGUCAAAUUGUUAAUAGCCGAAAGGCUUUCACCUAAAACAUAUAAUCAAAUUUGUCAAAAUAGCUUGAUGAUAGAACCCAUGCACUUUAUUUGUUUCUGUAAUUAGAGAGAGAAGUCAUGUACUCUGUUUCUCUUAUAUUAAACUUAUGGCUGAAAACAGUUUGAGAUUGUUUUCUCAAAAAUACUUACUUAUAUUCUUUGACUUAUCUUUAGAUUGUGUUUAUUGUUAUCCCCUUCUUCACUAAUACUCAUCAUCAUCAUCUUUCUUGAUAAGCCAAUCUCUAAGUUUUGAAAUAUAUAAAACAAACAACGGUGACCAUUAAUAUAUCGCCCAAAAUCUCAAAAUCAUUUAACACAAAGAAAAUCGAUUAAUUUAAGCUGAGAACAAACAACAAUUGAGGGUGAACCCAAAGACAAAUGAUGGAUGAAAAGCCAAGAUGAAGAAGCCAAUUUCUACCAUAAGGUUUUGUUUGGGUAUAAGGCAAAUCAUAAGGAGAGGAAUAACUGAAUUUAAUAAAUUUUAAUCAUUCUUCAGUAUCUUUAAAAUUUUCAUUCCAAGGAUGUAGGUGCAACAUCCCUUGAUUAUAAUGUAAAAUUUCAAAUUUCCAUAGGGAUACUUGCACCCAAAGAGUUGUUAUAGAAUGAUAAAAAUGUUAACUCAUUGCACUUGAUUAAACUAUUUGGAAUUCUACCCGAAAUCUUAUCGCCUCUCAACUUUAAGACUUGCAGUUUAGAUAGGUUAUCAAAUAUUUCUAACGGUAGAUGACCUACAACGAUAAUAUUAUUACCUAGUUUUGACAUUUCUAGUUUUGAGAAAUUGCUUAGCGUAGAUAGGGAUAACACCAGUGAAGUUGUUACUAUACAAAUACAAGCUUUUAAGUUUUAGAAAUUAUUGUUGCCAAAGUUGAAAUAUUCUAACUGAUGCAAACUAGUGUACUCAAUGGGUAAACAAACAUAGAAACUAUUGUUACAAAUGUUGAGUUUGGCAAGGAAAGAAGAUUUCCAGUUGAGAUGGUAUGGUGUUUGUGAAAUCCAUACCUAAUGCAUCAAGAGUUGUGAUGUUUGAAUUUAUAAGUAAAAGUAAUCUAUGAGAUUUUAGUGCUACAAGGUUGAUUUGAUUAACGGUGAAAUUAGGUAGGGGAUAAGGCUAUUCAGAGAGGAGGGAAAUAGUUGAGUGUAAUACUUAUAUAAUGUUCAAAAUUCUACAAAUACUUUGAUUCUAUGGAUUAAGGCAUAGAACCUGACCAUUUGAGAAAGAAUUAGCCACAAUUAUUGGGCUACAACCCGAAAACAGGGACAGCCUUAACAUACCCACAACUAAUGUUCAAUAUUAUAAAUACAAAAAAAAAAUAGUCGAAGUAUUAAAUAUAUAAUUGAUUGGAGAGAAGUCAAAAGCUAAUUAAUAAUAUAUAGGGAUUGCAUAAAUGUAACAACAAAAAGAAAAAAAAUGAUAUUAUACCUGAUAAGUUAUUAUAAGCAAGAUCAAUAACUUCGAGAGUGGUCAAGUUUCCAAUAGUUGAUGGGAUUUUACCUAAAAAUAUAAAGAAAUUGGUUAAAAUAGUUUAUAGUAUGCUAUUAUUUAUUUUAUAUUAUAUGUAUAUAUUGCAUGGAAAACAAAUAUAAAUACUUAUAAUAAAUAUAUAUUUGUUGUUAAAAUGAAAAUUACUAAGUUGUCUUUGUUUAGAAAUUUAAUAAAUAAUUUUUUUAAAAUUACUAAAUAUUAAAAAAGAAUAUGAAAAGAAUAAGGUAAAAAGAUUUAUCUGGUUCCUCUCGAUUUCGAAAUUGAAUAAAUUAGUCUCCUUAAAAAAAUUGAAACAAUUUAAUCUUUGUCUAUCUUGAAAGUUAGCAAUGAAGGAAAUUAAUCAUGACGUUAAUUUAUUUUGUCAAUUGUGUAUGAUUUUUUAUUAGUAUAAUAAUAAAUUUAACUCUCAAUGUUUACAUAUUUUGUUAACUUGAUCUUGAUUCUAAAAAAAUUCAAUAAAUUUUGGCUCAACAUUUACAAAAAUAUUGCUGGUUAAAUUUAUUAAAUCAUGACCAAAUUGAUAUAACAUGUACAUUAUGAAAAAUAUUAACGAUGUGAUUAAAUAUUUUUAAUUGCUUCCUUUCGAAAUUGAUAGAGAUUAAUUAGAUACAUUGGUCCCAUAAUAUGUCACUCAAAAUCUCAAAAUCAUCCAACAAAAAGACAUCAUCAUUUAUAUAUUCUAUUUUAAAGAAGUUAUUGGAAAGAAUAAUGUACUUGAGAGAAAUAAGAUUUCUAAAAAUAGAUGAAAAAACAUAUAAUUAAUAAUUUUUAUAUAUUCUAUUUUGAUGAAAAAAUAGUCUGUAUUUUUAAUUACUUAAAAAUAUUGCAUAAAUUUAAUAACAAAAUGGAGAAUAAAAGAAACAUGAAAUUAUGCCUCUCAAUUUGUUAUUGUUAAGAGAAAGUAUUUGGAGAGAAGUCAAGUUUCCAAUAACAAGAGGAAUUUCACUUGAAACAUAUAAUUAAAUCAAUAAAUAUAUAAUUAUUUUUAUUAAUUACUUUAAGAGUUUAAUAAGGCAAAUCUAAAAGGUAGAAGAAAUAGCUAAUUAGAAGUUGUGCGUGAUUCAAAAGGGUAUAAAGUAGGUCCAAAUUAAAAAUCAAAUCUUAAUAUAUUUUAAUGUAAAAUUUAACUCUUUUCUUAUCACCAAAUAAAUUUACUUUCAGAGAAAUUACAAGUUUUAAUAAAAUAGUUGAAAUAAGUGAUUGUUUAUGAGUAGGUGAAAAUUAGAUGAAAAAAACAUAUAAUUAAUAAUUUAUAUAUCUAUUUCUCUCAUACUAUGGACUAUGGCGGAGCAAAAAUUAAUAAAAAAAUCAAACGGAUAGAAAUAACUUAGUUACAAGCUUGAUGUUAAUUCAAUAAAUUUUUAAAAAAAAACACACACAUUGUUUUCCAAAGGAGAAUAACAAAAAAUAUUUAAAAAUAUUGCAUAAAUUUAAUAACAAAAAGGAGAAUAAAAGAAACAUGAAAUUAUACCUG